GGUUGGAUGGCCGAGCGGUCUAAGGCGCCAGACUAAGGAUCAGCUUCCUCACAGGAGCACCACUUGCUAGCGCAAUCUGGUCCGAAAGGGCGUGGGUUCGAAUCCCACUCCAAUCA